CCGCUGUCCCAACGGCUUCCUGACGGGACGGUAUGACAUCCAUCGGAGCG
rfam:Oceanicola batsensis HTCC2597 scf_1099451005761 genomic scaffold, whole genome shotgun sequence.